GGUUGUUCAGAUUUUGUUCAAGCCGUUUUACAGGGGUGUUGAGGUCAUUUCUUGCACUUAAUCGUCCAAAACGACUCAGAAAGGGUAUUCUACAAAGUAACUUGACGUCAUCCGGCAAAUCACCGCGGUUUCCAGUCACGCGCACUGACAUGCGCAUUCCUGGCAGGUUACUAAAUGCUAAGGGCCGUUUUCGGCGUUUGAAUGUCGCGAAGUUGGAACGUUUGCUACCGCGGUAACGUUCCACUCGCGAAAUACUGCGUGAACCAUGUUGUUAUUUUGAAUAAUAUACUAAUAUUUAAGCACAUUAUCCUGUUCCAUCAUGUUUUGUUUUAACCCUAUGCAAAUGGAAGCGUGAAUCCGCUCAGCCACCAGCUGGGAUUUCAAGUCAGUCCUGUAAAUGCAGUUGGAUGGUAAAAGUCCUGUCCUGUUUCUGUCUCAGACCCGCCCUAACAGACGAGGAAGGAGUUAUCCAGUUUAAUAGCCAUUGGAAGAGAAGAUCCCAUGUAGGAACAUUUGACAGUGAUCAGUCUCUAGCUGAAGGUGCUUCCAGCAAGUCCUCCAACCUAUAUGACCCACAUGGUCGUCAGUGACGUGCGGGCUGCAGUUCACAUGAGCCCAUUCAGCUGACACGGAAGAGGAAGGCAGAAGAUUAAGUGUCCCAAAAGUGUUGGCAUCACUGCUUCUCCUAAAAUGUUCACGAGAGUCCUAAUGAUGUGCACUCUUUCUUCGUCUCUCCGGUUUUCUUCAGGAAGGGGAUAAAAUUUGCGCCCUGCCUGAAGAUGACUCUCAAGCAGCAGGUGAUGGUGCCAGGGCCAGCUGCUCCGGCCCCACCUCUGCUCAGCUGUCCGAGUCCAGACCAGCCUUUGAACAGCCUAUUACCCCGACACAGCACCGGGGGAAAGCAAUCAGCUCCAGAGGUGUUUUUGUGAACCUUUGCUCAGCAGGGUGGCCCGGUGGUGCGCCUCUGUGGAAGAAACAAGAGGCAGAUACAUUCAGUGUGGCAGUCUGUCAACACCGCACAGCAGAGAUCAGAACAGAACAGGCUUUACAGUAAAAACCCAAAGGAAGGUGGGCCAACACACAAUGAUGAAGGCUCCAAACUGACCGCCCUGCAAUGUGAAAGAUUGUGUUUCUUUUGCGAGAUUUUGUUACCUAAUGGCUUGUCGGGAAGCUGUAGGGACGGUGUAAUGGACCAUGUAAUGGAUAAAGGAUUGUAUUGAUGGACAUGUGUUGACUUAACUAUAUUGAUCUGGAGAACUUAUAUUGAUAAAUGCAAAAAUAUUUUUGCAGUGAAACACUAAUGCACUUUUUGUGAUUUAUAGCUGAGAGCUUUUACAUCACCCUA